CUUCUUUCUGUACUAACAUUAUUCUUCCUACAUACUUAAACACUGGGACACACUUUGGACACUUUUUUGACUUAAGCUCUUCACCAUCAUCAAUAUUUGUCCGUGAAUCCUGACCCUCUGGUGAGUUAGAGGUUAACAGAUCUGUAGCGGCGGAGCUGCUGUACUCUGACGCGGUGAUGGAGUGCGCGGAGAUGCGCUACCGCUCGAGGAGGAUCCCGCGACCGCGUUCGAACUUUCCCCGGCGCUUUCGUCAGCAGCUGUAAGUUCUGCGCCGAAAGUUUACAUCACGGUGUUAUAGAUACAAAUAUGGUCCUUCUAGAAGUGGCAGAGGAGUUAUGCUUCACUUAAGAUGUUGCAGAAUUUCAGCUCUGUUUUAUGCCAAAAGGCACAACUGCCAAGAGGUCACCCUGAGGGAACUGCCACUCAGAGAAUGCUUUCUGUUGCAGCUGUUACCAGAGCCAGCCAGAUCCAGCUCCGUUCCUGCUUGGUGUCAGACUCCACUGCUACGUGUCGCUGAAAGAUGACGACAAACUACAGCCGGUGCCGGCCAGACAUCACUUGAGUCUUUUGACUUCAGAAGAUGAACUGAUGCCAACUCCAACUGUAAGACAUGAGAUACUUCAUAUGCCACUGCCUGAACCUUGGACUUAGGAUGGACCCCACCGAACCUCACCGAAAUGACCUACAGGUUGAACUGUCUAUUGAUGGACUACACUCUUGAAUUGGAAUACACUGACUAUCAUUUAAUUGCCAAAAAAAGCCUUCAUCAGCCAACUAACAAAGAACAAUGCAUCAAUGUGAACUUCUGCAGUUAAUCCAGGAUGGACUUCAAAGACAUUAGUCAUUCAUCUUAAAGUUAAAAAAUAUUUUUUCUUUUUUUCUUUUUAAAAAAAGACAGUGGGCCUUAACGCUUACUUAAAGAGCACCUAUUAUGGUUUUUCAAAUAUUACCUUUCAUGUAGUGUGUCAUAUAGCUGUUUGUGAAUGUAAAAAAGUCUGCAAAGUUUCAAAAAUCAAAGUGUACGACAAAUGGAGUUAUUGACUCCAAAAAGAAAGAACUGAUUCUGAACACCUGAAACGAGUCAUUAGUAAUUCCAGACUUACUUCUUGUAUUAACCUAUGUAAUUUGGUAACAAAAAACCCACCUCUGGUCUUCAUUGGCCGCUCGCGAACAGCUUUGACCCGCCCUCAAACACUUCACUAAGCAGUAGACCAACAGACUGGGACAUCUGACCAAUCAGAGCAGAGUAGGCUCUCUGAAAGGAGGAGUUUAGAAUGAAUCCUUUUUUUUGGGGGAUUUUCCCCCUUUUUCAUCCAAUUUGGAAUGCCCAAUUCCCAAUGCACUUUUAAGUCCUCGUGGUCGUGUAGUGAUUCGCCUCAAUCUGGGUGGCGGAGGAUGAAUUCCAGCUUCCCAGAAUCCCAGCGUCUGAGACCGCCAACCCGUGCAUCUUGUCACGUGGCUUGUUGAGCGCGUUGCCACAGAGACAUUCACGCCAUUAACUGCGGCAUCCACGCGCCCCACCGAGAACAAACUACAUUAUAGCGACCACGAGGAGGUUACCCCAUGUGACUCUACCCUCCCUAGCAACUGGGCCAAUUUGGAUGCUUCAGCAUUAUCCUGCUGAAAGAGGCCAUUGCCAUCAGGGGAUACUGUUGCCACGAAGGGGUGUAUGUGGUUGCAACUGGAGUCACUCAGCACGCCCUGGGAUUCGAACUCGCAAACUCCAGGGGUGGUAGCCAGCGUCUUUUACCACUGAGCUACCCAGGCCCCCAGAAUGAAUCCUUUAGAAUGGAUCAUUGAACGAGUUGUUUUUGACACUGGAAAAAAAAAAGGUAAUGCUGCAAUUUAAAUUAUGAGCAAAUUAAAGUGUUUUUUGACCUUGGAUGCAUGUAAAUCUAUUGUAUGAGACCUUUAAAACAAAAUUAGGCACAUUUAAAAACCAUAAUAGGUGCUCUUUAAUUUACAAAUUUAAAACCAUGACUUACACUUUACAUAAAUAACUAAUAUUGGCAUUAUAUUCAUGUUGUUUUGCCAGAGGGGAACUGGCCCCCACAGUGAGCCUGGAUUCUCCCAAGGAUAUUUUAUUCCAUUAACAUAGAUCUUAUGGAGUUUUGCCACAGUCGCCUUCAACGUGCUCGCAGGGGUUCUAAAUACAAUUAUUAUUUAAUUAUUUAAUUUCUAUCCUCAAUUUACAAUCAUAUUUAAUCAAACUACAAAAUGAUCACUCUAAACUUUAUUGAUAUUACAGUUUCAUUUUUUGCUAAUGCAUGAAUUCCUGUUAAGCAGCUUGAAACAAUGUGUGUUGUGAAAAGCAAUAUACAAAUAAAAAUGACUUGACUUGAUUCCACGGGUCAUCUGGGUGGCUGCUAGGGUGUUGAUAUGUGGUUUCCAAAGUGUUUUGAGUGGGUUUUAGAGUGUUGCUGUACAGUUACGGUGUUCUGAGUGGUUGUUAGGUGGUUGCUAGGACAUUGCUAUGUGGUUACUAAGGUAUGCAGUUUUUCUUUUAGUGUGUUGCUACAUGGUUGCCUGGGUGUUCUGUGUUUUUAGAGUGUUUCUGUACAGUUAACGUGUUCUGAGUGGCUGUUAGAUGGUUGUAUGGUGUUCUAAGUGGUUGUUUGGUGGUUGCCAGGGCAUUGCUAUUUGGUUGCUAGGGUGCUCUGAGUGUUUUUUAGAGUGUUGCUUUACAGUUAAGGUGUUCUGAGUGGUUUUUAGAGAGUUGCUGUACAGUUACCGUGUUCUGAGUGGUUGUUGGAUGGUUGCCAGGGUAUUAUGCAGUUUCUUAGAUGUUCUGAAUGGUUUAUCUCAUUGAAAGGGUCAUCUGGGUGGCUGCUAGUGUGUUAAUAUGUGGUUGCCAAAGUGUUCUGAGUGUUUUUUAGAGUGUUGCUGUACAGUUAGCAAUGAUGCUUGUAGUGGUUGUGAGAUGGUUGCAUGGUGUUCUGAGUGGUUGUUGCGUGGUUGCCAGGGCAUUGCUAUGUGGCUGUUAGGAUGUUCUGAGUGGUUUUUAGAGUGGUGCUGUUCAUUUACCGUGUUCUGGGUGGUUGUUAGGGGGAUGCAAGGGCAUUGCUUUGCGGUUAUUCCGGUGUUUUUGGUGUUUUUUUUAGUGUGUUGCUAUGCGGUUGUCUGGGUGUUAUGAGUGGUUUUUAGAUAGUUGUUGUACAGUUACGGUGUUCUGAGUGGUUGUUAGAUAGUUGUAAGUUGUUCUAAGUGGUUGUUGGCUGGUUGCCAGGGCAUUGGUAUUUGGUUGCUAUGGUUUUCUGAGUGGUUGUUUAGAGAGUUGCUGUACAUUUACAGUGGUUUGAGUGGUUGCCAGGGCAUUGCGGUUUCUAAGGUGUUCUGAGGGGUUUUUAACUCAUUUCUAGAGUGUUCUGGUUACUAGGACAUUGCUUUGUGGUUGCUAGGGUGUUCUGAGUGUUGUUGUUUUUUAGUGUGUUGCUAUGGUGUUGCAAGGGUGUUCUGAGUGUUUUUUGAGUGUGUUGUUAUGCUGUUGCUUAGGUGUUCUGAGUCUUUUAAGUGUUGCUAUGCGGCUGCUAGGGUGUUCUGGGUGGCUGCUAGGGUUUUGAUAUGUGGCUGCUUAAGUGUUCUGAGUGGAUUUUAGAGUGUUGCUGUAUAGUUAUGGUGUUCUAAAUGGUUGUUAGAUGGUUGCCAGGGCACUAAGCAGUUUCUUAGGUGUUCUGAGUGGUUUAACUCAUUGCUAGGGUGUUCUGCGUGGCUACAAGGGUUUUGAUAUGUGGCUGCUUAAGUGUUCUGAGUGGAUUUUAGAGUGUUGCUGUAUAGUUAUGGUGUUCUAAAUGGUUGUUAGAUGGUUGCCAGGGCACUAAGCAGUUUCUUAGGUGUUCUGAGUGGUUUAACUCAUUGCUAGGGUGUUCUGGGUGGCUGCUAGCGUGUUGAUAUGUGGUUGCCAAAGUGUUCUUAGUGUUUUUUAGAGCGUUGCUUUACAGUUAGCUAUGGUGCUCGUAGUAGUUGUUAAAUGGUUGUACAGUGUUCUGAGUGGUUGUUGCAUGGUCGCCAGGGCAUUGCUAUGUGAUUGAUAUGAUGUUCUGCAUGAUUAUUAGAGUGUUGCUGUACAGUUACAGUGUUCUGAGUGGUUGUUGGGUAGUUGCCAGGGCAUUUCUAUGCGGUUGCUAAGGUGUUCUGUUUUUUUUUUUUUUUUUUUUUUUUUACUGUGUUGCUUUGCGGAUGCCUGGGUGUUCUGAGUUGUUUUUAGAGCGUUGCUGUACAGUUACGGUUAUCUGAGUGGUUGUUAGAUGGUUGUACGGUGUACUGAGUGGUUGUUAGAUGGUUGCCAAGGCAUUGCUAUUCAGUUGCUAAGCAGUUUUGAGUGUUUUUUUAGUGGGUUACUAUGCGGUUGCCUGGGUGUUCAGAGCGUUGCUCUGCAGUAACGGUGUUCUGAGUAGUUGUUAGAUGGUUGCCAAGGCACUACGCAGUUGCUAUGGUGUUCUGAUUGGUUUUUAACUCAUUGCAAGAGUCCUCUGGGUGGUUGCAAGGGUCAUCUAUGUGGCUUCUAGGAUGUUGAUAUGUGGUUGCUUCGAAGUUUUGAGUGUUUUAGCAUGUUGAUAGAAUUAAGAAGGUGCUCUGAGCAGUUGUUAGGUGGUUGCCAGGACAUUGCUAUGUGGUUGCUAAGGUGUUCUGAUUUUUUUGUAGCAUGUUGCUGUAGUUACAGUGUUCUGAGGGGUUUAAAGUGGUUGCCAAGGUGUUGCUAUGUGGUUGUUAAGGUGUUCUGAGUGGUUGUUAGAUAGGUUGCCAGGGCACUAUGCAGUUGCUAUGGUGUUCUGAGUGUUUUUUUAUAACUCAUUGCAAAAGUCUUCUGGGUGGCUGCUAGGGUGUUGAUAUGUGGUUGCUACAUUGUUCUGAAUGUUUUAGCUUGUUGAUAGAAUGAAGAAGGUGUUCUGAGCAGUUGUUAGGUGGUUGCCAAGGUGUUGCUAUGUGGUUGUUAAGGUGUUCUGAGUGUUUUUUUAGUGUGUUGCUACAUGGUUGCAAAAGUGUUCUCAGUGGUUGUUAAGCGGUUGACAGAACACGGCUAUACGGUAGUUCAGGUGUUCUGAGAUUUUUUUAGUGUGUUGCUGUAUUAACAGUGUUCUGAGUGAUUGUUUGGUGGCUGCCAAGGUGUUGCUAUGCAGUUGCUAAGGUGUUCUGAGUGAUUGUUAAGUAGUUGCCAGGGCAUUGCUAGGGUGUUCUAGGUUGUUGCCAGGUGGUUUGCCCAAGUUAAAAGUGCCCACUCCCAAGUCUUGAUGAUUUUCUGGAUAUUCUUUAGAUAUGAUCAGGUCUCUCAUUCCAUGCAAGUCUAUAGGAUAAUUUUGCCCUUUUUAUUGUUCACCAGUGGCAAAUUGUACAAUUGUUUACAAAAAGUAAUAGCAAAUCUCUCCUCACCAAGCGGUACAAUUUCAGGUAUCGCUCAUGUCUGUAGAACAAAUGUGGGGUACAAGUGCCAAAGUUUAUUAUGUAGGGUUAGGGGUUUGUUUAAAUACCUAACCCUAAGAAUGGUCAAUAGUAAUAGUGCUGCUUGCCUUAGCAAGUGCUGCUAAAUAUGAAAUAAAGCUAAAAUAAAGACUAAAUCGAAAUGAGUAUGUGUGCAGAUAUUUGCAGCUAUCUGUUCUUGUUGGCUUAGGGUUGUUCUUUGUACCAAGGCGAUAAAUGUGGUGAGAAAUGUAAUGAAUUCUGUACUUUUGACAGAAUUGAUAAGGACUAGUGAAAGACGAAAAGUGAAUUUGGAAAAAAGGGAGCGUUUUAUGGAUAAACCAAGCCAAAAGUAUGUUCCACUUGGUAGACCUGACCCCAUUUUUUUCAGUCUGGCAAUAUUUUGUUUAAAUGUGCUCAUGAACCACAGCCAAACUUGUAUCAUCAUACAUCAUGUGUAAGAGUUCUCUUCUUUCAAUUAACUAUAUCUCCAGUUACAAAAUUUUUUGAGCUUCUCAAAAUGCUGUAAAUUAUAGCAAACGGCUUCAUUGGAAGCAGAAAACGUAUGGUAUGAUUUUGUUUCAUUUUAUUUUUGUACCGUUUUGCCAGGAUCUAUCGUAAGAGUCAAAGCUUUUGUACCGUGACCUAAAAUAAAGUUUAAAGUUUAAUCUGAUUUAUGACUUAUAUUGGUCCUGGAAGU